rnacentral:rRNA from 1 species
AAUGAACGUUGGCGGCGUGGAUUAGGCAUGCAAGUCGAGCGGUAAGGCCCCGCAAGGGGCACACGAGCGGCGUAAGGGACAGUAAUGUGUAGGUACGUACCCCCCGGGACUGGGAUAGCUGCGGGAAACUGCAAUUAAUACCAGAUGACGUCUCCGGACCAAAGGUGUGAUUCCGCCAGGGGAGCGGCCUACAUCCUAUUAGCUAGUUGGCGGGGUAAUGGCCCACCAAGGCUCAGAUGGGUAGCAGGUGUGAGAGCACGACCUGCGUCACUGGGACUGAGACACUGCCCAGACACCUACGGGUGGCUGCAGUCGAGAAUCUUCGGCAAUGAGCGCAAGCUUGACCGAGCGACGCCGCGUGCGGGAUGAAGGCCUUCGGGUUGUAAACCGCUGUCAGAGGGGACGAAAUACUGGUGGGUUCUCCCAUCAGUUUGACCGAUCCUCAAAGGAAGGGUGGGCUAAGUUCGUGCCAGCCGCCGCAGUAAGAC